GCAAAAGGAAAAAAGAUGGAGCUGAGCGCUACCAAAUAGAGUGGCUACUGCUGUUGUGAAAGAUGCAGUGACAUUGGAAUACACUGAGCCAAGAGAAGAGGACGUGGCAGGUUAUGGUCCAAAGAAGUCUCCUGCCCUCUCUGAGGGGGAGGAUGAUGCUACACACCAAGGAUCUGCAGUGUGAAAUUGCGGAGGUGUUUGGAGAUUUCAGAGAAAAAACUCCAAGAGAGGCCUGGGCUAUGACUCAGCCCCUUGGGAACCCUUGGGGUGUUUCCCCCACCCCCUCAUUUAAGAAUUCACUGAUCUUCCUGGAAAAUAUGAACCAUGAGAACAUCCAGCCACCAUUAGAUAAGUAUUACAGUGACUCACAUUGUCAUAGUAUUGAUAGAGACGGCCUUUAUAAAAAGAUAGCAGUCCAGUAG
rnacentral:lncRNA from 1 species